GACGAACGCUGGCGGCGUGCUUAACACAUGCAAGUCGAACGAAGUGGCGAACGGGUGAGUAACGCGUAAUCAACCUGCCCUUCAGAGGGGGACAACAGUGGGACACGAGUAGUAAUACCGCAUAAGGAAGGAGGGGAUUGCGUCUGAUUAGCUCGUUGGAGGGGUAACGGCCCACCAAGGCGAUGAUCAGUCGCCGGUCUGAGAGGAUGAACGGCCACAUUUGGACUGAGACACGGCCCAGACUCCUACGGGAGGCAGCAGUGGGGAAUCUUCCGCAAUGGACGAAAGUCUGACGGAGCAACGCCGCGUGAGUGAUGACGGCCUUCGGGUUGUAAAGCUCUGUUAAUCGGGACGCGGUACCGGAAUAGAAAGCCACGGCUAACUACGUGCCAGCAGCCGCGGUAAUAC
rnacentral:rRNA from 1 species